AAAUCCACAAAUCCCAACCCAAGAAAAGUGUUACUGAAUUCAAUUUCCUUCAGUGUAGACGUUUUUCCAGCAUAACAAUCACAAGCUCCACUCAUGAAUAUGCUGAUUGAACUCCUGCUAACCGAAGCGGAAACAACCCAAAAACUCCAUUCUCCCCGAACUCCACGUACCUGAAACUUGUCUAGAAGAAAAUUUCAUUGCUGUCUCCACUCAAGAUAUCAUCAAGCUACUUGGGAAAGACACUUCAACUGGCUAAUGAAUUUUCUCCGGCGCUGACAAAGCUGUACAGCUUUUUUCGAAUACUUGGCCGACCGUUGACAAAUGAAAAACGAAGGAACAAUUCCGCCCGAGCUGGUCCACAUUGGAAAUUCAUGGAAGCGCGCUUCUAGGAGAAAAUAAACAUGUUUAUGACGAUGUCGAGGUGAACGUUGCCGCUGACAAUGAAAAGUGUUUUAUUGUGUUGCCUGCGAAGUAGUUGUUACUCUCCAGAGUUUUCUGGCACAUUAAACAGGUUGAUUGCUA